rnacentral:sRNA from 1 species
GUUUAGCCCCGAUGGAAACGAUAUCCUUUUUCCUGCUUCUUUAGCGGGCAAAAGAUAUAGUGGACAGCGGGACUGAAA